CAGAAACCAUAUAUAUUCCAACAAUUGUACAUGGAAGAAGAACCUUUCGCCAAUGCAAACAACAAAACUCAAAAUUAACUAAGUCAUUGACAAAUAAGUAAAAACUUUCACUGCACUUGCAGGAAAUGAACUAAAUAUCUCGAUCUGCUUAAGCAACAUUGAAAACAUAUGAAAAUCUUUAAAAACAAAACUGGAAUUAAAUAAAACAGAUAUCUCAACUUCCACAAUCAAUCUUAUACGACACAUGCCAAAACCUAAUUCAUCCUUCUAAUGAGUUCAUUGAUGUAGUCCUCCCUGUUACCAGCAUCACCACCUUCAACAUAGUGAUUUCUCUUCUUCUUCAUGCCACCCAAAGGAGCUUUGAGCUUGAAAGGCCAUAGGAAGUUGUUUGCCUCUCUGAAGUGAGGUCCAACAGUAAGGAUCUCAUGAAUGAGAUCUUCAAUGCAAAUGAUACCAUGUUUCCCGAGAACCUGCAAUUGAAUAUUAUGUCAGAUGAAAAAUAGAAAAAAAUUAACUGGUAAUAUAACCUUCAACAAUAAUAAUAGCACCACCAUACACGGGACAUCAAGACUAUGAUUGCUCAAGAAAUCACAUAUUAGACAUCUGGACUGUCUCGUCAAAUUUAAACAACUUGCAUUCUAACUUUGGCAAAUUAGGUAAAAUAGAGUCGGAAUGAGGAGAGAUCCCAUCUAGGACUGACAGUUCAGAUUGACGACUGUGUGAUUGAAAGAAUGAAGGGAAUAGAAAUUAAAGACGGACCUGCUCAAUGAUAGAGUUGUCAGUCAAAGCAAUUCUCUGCCUAUCAACCUUUCCAUAACCGCGCUUGUAGAUCAAUUCUCUGACACUCUUCAGAUUGGGAUAUCUAAAAUAAAAUAGCAUAUAUUAAGAACUUGUACCGAGUAAUAACGAAGAGCGAUAAUCUGGACUUGAGAUAAUUUGAGAUUCUGCAUACCCGUAGGUGACAUAUGGCUCAACCCUGUGAAGCAUAUUCACGGUCGCUUUGUUUACUUUGAGAAAGACACCAUUGCAGAUCUGCAGCCAAAACAAUUGGAAGAAUAAGCCUACACCCAUAUAUUGAUUGCACCGAGUCUAAAUUAUAAAAGUAUUCAAGAAAUGGAAAAAGAGGUCCAGAAGCAAAAGAAUAAAGAGAUAUAUAAAAGGUUGAAAUUUCAGCACACAACACCAUAUCUCCAAGCUAAAAUUCAACUUUUUUAUUCAGAAAAAAUUACAUGGAUGGAGAUCUAAAUCACUUGGUAAUAAUGGAUCAAACAAGGAGCAGUUCUGUGAAAAGCUUUAAUAGUAAAGUCAAGGUUAUAAUACAUGCAAAUCCUACCUAGUAUCAAACAAUUAGUAAGGACAAAAACAAGAGAUCAAAAGUAAAUGCACAAGAUUUUACCCAUUGUAUUAAAUUAAAUUUCAUUCAUUUCAAUAUUAUAAUAUAUCAUAGAUACAUGUACAUCCUAAAUCCUAAAUAACACAAAGCACAUCCUAAAUAAAAUAAAUAAGCAAAAACAACUUUUGAGUGAAAACCAAAUGCAACUUUAAACUCUCGGGUAUUAGACAUUUAGAUAGAGUAAUUUUGGAUAGCUUAUAUUGUCUAGCUUAUCACAUGAAAUGAACAAUAAUAUAUAGUUGCAUACACUAAUGGCAUUAGAUGAAAGCUUAAUUCAACAAGCACAACAUUUUAACUCAAUUUAACAAGAGAUCAACAUUGAAUAACCCCUAAAUCAUAGGUUCAUUGCAUGAUACAUGAAACAGCACAUCCAUAAACACAACUCAGCACAAAAAACAAGCGUACAAAAAACAGGCGUACAACUCUUUCUAUAAACCAACAAGUGAUUAUAACUUAAAAUGAUACACACAACAUUCCUUGACAAGUUCCUCAAUCAAAAAUGAAAUUACUACUAAGCAACACCCAUCACCUGUCUCAAACGCAAAAGCUGCAAAAUCUUCCUUGAUUUUGGGUCCAUUGCAUUGAUACUGAAAUUAUAAACAAAUUUAUAAAGUUCACAUUAAUUAAUUAACAAAAAAAUAAUAACAAAUAACCCACAAAGGAUACACAAGUAUAAUAGGGUUAAAUAUCUUAUUAGUCCUACAUAAAAGAUAUUCAAAUUUAGGAUCUAAAUGCACCCAUUUUUUCCUCUAUCAUUCUUCCAAAACGGAGACCAAAAUUGUAUAAAAAAAAAAGAUAAUUUCAAAACUAAAAACAUUAUUAAUCUAGUAUAAAAUAAAAUAAAAUAAAAUAGAGAAAAUGACAUACCCUCUGAUCCUGAUAAUGAACAAAAGCUUAGCUUCAGGAUCAACAUAAAAUCCACCCUUAAGCUUAGCUUCACGCUUCAACGCAAUCAACUCCUUUUGCUGAACACACAAAUUAAACAAACAAAUGAAUGAUUAUAUCAAAUUAAAUUAGCUUAAUCAUUACAAUUAGAAAAUUACCGAGUCAUCGUAUUCCUUAGCGUACUGUUUGGCUCUACUCCAAAUAAGCUUCCUUGUCUCAGAUCGCUUCUUCUUAGCUGAUUCCUGUUCCUGUUUCUUCACCAAUGCCCAUUCCUCAUUCCUUUUCUGUUUCUUCAAAACCGAUUCAGGAACAACGGUUUUCACUUCCUCCUUGGCCAUUUCAGUGAAUCGAUGUUGUUGUGGUUCUGUUCUGUUCUGUGAA
rnacentral:lncRNA from 1 species